rnacentral:rRNA from 1 species
GUGGGGAAUUUUGGACAAUGGGCGCAAGCCUGAUCCAGCCAUUCCGCGUGAGUGAAGAAGGCCUUCGGGUUGUAAAGCUCUUUCGCAAGGGAAGAAAACUUACAUUCUAAUAAAGUGUGAGGCUGACGGUACCUUGAUAAGAAGCACCGGCUAACUACGUGCCAGCAGCCGCGGUAAUACGUAGGGUGCGAGCGUUAAUCGGAAUUACUGGGCGUAAAGCGUGCGCAGGCGGUUUGGCAAGUCAGAUGUGAAAUCCCCGAGCUCAACUUGGGAACUGCGUUUGAAACUGCCAGACUAGAAUAUGUCAGAGGGGGGUAGAAUUCCACGUGUAGCAGUGAAAUGCGUAGAGAUGUGGAGGAAUACCAAUGGCGAAGGCAGCCCCCUGGGAUAAUAUUGACGCUCAUGCACGAAAGCGUGGGGAGCAA